GACGGAGGAUGCAAGUGUUAUCCGGAAUCACUGGGCGUAAAGCGUCUGUAGGUGGUUUAAUAAGUCAACUGUUAAAUCUUGAGGCUCAACCUCAAAAUCGCAGUCGAAACUAUUAGGCUAGAGUAUAGUAGGGGUAAAGGGAAUUUCCAGUGGAGCGGUGAGAUGCGUAGAGAUUGGAAAGAACACCGAUGGCGAAGGCACUUUACUGGGCUAUUACUAACACUCAGAGACGAAAGCUAGGGUAGCAAAUGGG
rnacentral:rRNA from 1 species